rnacentral:lncRNA from 1 species
GGAGAGCCAGCAAAUCAAUCCACUAUAAAUCGGAGAAUUACAGGAUUACAAUCACAUAAAUACUCAAGUGUUUCCCAGCCCUACUUUAAACCCGAUACCCACGGUGUUUAACAAAACAACUCAAUGGACUCAACUCAGCACAAAACCUCUCUGAGCUCUCUCGUCUCUCACACUCUCUCGAGCUCUUUCUUCUCGCUCUCUCUCGAGCUCUUUUCUGUUUUGCUCUUUUUCGCAUCUUCAGACGUCUUCUCCUUAUAUAGGGAGAACGGCAGAGGACAAGACAAAACAAAUGAAAAUAAAUGGCCUCAUUAAAUGCUGCAGCGCAGGCGCCCACAAGACAAGCCGCAAUCGGCACCGAACGCCCACCAUAUUUGUAGGCAUGCAUGCAGAUAAUGCAUGUGCAUGGGCAAGCAUUUAAUGAGGCGGCAGAGAUGAGGGAUAAUAGUCAGAAACGUGUGCCAUUGAUCUGUGAAAUGAGGUGGGCUGCAGUCUUCAAAUUUCUUGUUCAUGGAGAGAAGCAAGCGUAUGACCAUCAUGCACUGACACACACGUAGAAUAGCUUCUGCCUUCUCUCUUUCUUUAUUCUGCCAUCCCUCUUUCUUUAUCAAUAAAAACAAGAGAAACCCUCAAAAGAGAAACCGUGAAAGAGGGACUUCGGCGCCUACAAGAGCUGACCAACUUUAUUCUUCUACAAGCAUGCAUGCACAUGGUCAUGUGCAUGCAUUUAAUGCAGAAGAUUGUGGACUUCCUCUU